GGAGGUACCGAGCAUGCCUGCUCAUUUGAGCAACGCGGUCAAUGGCUCUCGCCAGGAUAAUGCGUCAGUGCCGGGCAUCAGUCACACCUGCGUUGUUCCAGAGUCGUCAUUGAUACCUCUUGGAGGAAAAGUUGCUCAGAUCCUGAAGCGACUGAAAAUAAAUUUACUUGACAUGGACGCUGCCUUACCCGAGGAAGCUCUGAGACCAUUGAUGGCUCUCACAGGGAAAAGAUGUGCCUGGCGUUCUCUUGUCAAAUCAGCGGAAUCGAUUUAUCAGGUGAGCUGAGACUAACCAUCUAUAGCUUGUUCGCUUUCCUGUUCACUUUUGUUCUUCAUGCUCUUCACGGUUGCCUUUUGAAUGAGUACUGUGUUCUUGGAAGAAUCCCUCGUGUUUAUCCUCUUCUCGAAUUCUUCGUCACUUUUUUAGAUGAGCGGAGCCGUUCGCGAAUGCCACUCGUCUGUUUCCAGUUCCCUUCUUAAGUUACCCUAGUGAUCAUAUUGUGCCAAAAAUAAAGUAGAAAUUAUAUACAUAUACAGUCGAACAUAAUAUUUUGAAAUCAAGAACCCACCGGCGCUUACCCUCAACUUCUCCCCACCCCCCAAUUUCGGAAACUGCUGAAACAGUGCUGGUCUUCUCCAGUAAAGUGAAAGAACGAAGGAAGAGGCCCCCCCCCCAGGCUGAGAGCUCACCUUGUUUUUCCAUGUUCCUCGUGGGCAGAUGGUUCAAGCUACUGUG
rnacentral:lncRNA from 1 species